UACGUAGGGGGCAAGCGUUGUCCGGAAUCAUUGGGCGUAAAGCGCGUGUAGGCGGCUCGAUAAGUCUGCUGUGAAAGUCCAGGGCUCAACCCUGGGAUGCCGGUGGAUACUGUCGAGCUCGAGUCCGGAAGAGGAGUGUGGAAUUCCUGGUGUAGCGGUGAAAUGCGCAGAUAUCAGGAGGAACACCUGCGGUGUAGACGGCUUUCUGGACCAUUGCUGACGCUGAGACACGAAAGCGUGGGUAGCAAACAGG
rnacentral:rRNA from 1 species